rnacentral:rRNA from 1 species
GUCUGUUUGUAGUUGUAGAGAGUUUAACCUGCCCACUGAUAAAAAUUUAAAGGCCGCGGUAAUUUGACCGUGCAAAGGUAGCAUAGUAAUUAGUUUCUUAAUUGGGAUCUUGUAUGAAUGGUUGGACAAGAAAAAAUCUGUCUUUAUAUUUAUUAUUGAAUUUAACUUUUGAGUGAAAAGGCUUAAAUGAAUUAAAGGGACGAUAAGACCCUAUAAAACUUUAUAUUGUUUAUUAUAUAGUUGAAUUUUAUGGAAUAAAAGCUUAAUAAUAGGAUUUAUUAUAUUGGGGUGAUAAAGGUAAAAUUUUUGAUAACUGCUUAAUUUUUAAAAACAAAAAUAAAUGAAGUGUAAAAUGAUCCUAAUUAAAGAUUAAAAGUUUAAGUUACUUUAGGGAUAACAGCGUUAUUUUUUUUGAGAGUUCAUAUCGAAAAAAAAGUUUGCGACCUCGAUGUUGAAUUAAAAUUUCUAUAUAAUUGCAGCAGUUAUAUAAGAAGGUCUGUUCGACCUUUAAAUUUUUACAUGAUUUGAGUUCAAACCGGCGUGAGCCAGGUUGGUUUCUAUCUUUUAAUAAAAAAUUUAUUAC